AACAACCACCAGUAUCUUAAACAUGGCUGAUCAAUUUAAACACCAACUACAGGGACAAUUCCCUAAUAUUAUCAAGUAUUUAGUUUGUGAACAACAAACUAUUAUUCAUUGUGGUCUUCUGAGAUUCCCAACGUCCUAAAGAAACAAUAUGUUGCAGGAUCAUAUCAGUUUGUCAAACAGACAAACGGCUUCAUCACAAAGGUCAAAAUAGGCAUGUGAGACCAUACACAUUUC